ensembl:lncRNA
UCAGUGCAACAAAGAUCAGAUUAUGCCUUCAUAUUUGUGUGUUAGUCUGAUUGCACACAGCAGAAUGUUUAGCUCCAGAGCUUGGGGAUUUUACAGCUACCACAGAUAUCAAGGACAUUAGGCAGAAAUCAGGAACCAACCACAACCUGGAGAAAAGAUCAUAAUAAUAAGAGAAGAACCAGGAUUGCACCAAGGAAAAUAUGAAUUAAACAACAGGGAGCUCUGAUUAAUGAAGCCAGCUGGCUGCGAACCAGAAACAAGAAGGGGGAUGUGUUUGAUCUGCUUUUCAUUCAGGGCUCCAGCUGUGGGCACAGCUGCAAGAGCUGCUCCCAGAAAAAGCAGCAAGGUGAGCAGCAGCAAGGCCCUUCCAGGGAAUGGAAACAAGAAAUGUGUUGAGGACUUUGGGACAGAGAAAAUAAAAGGCAAGAAGAGGAAAACAGAACAGUGGGAACAGACAGAAUCUCAGCAUGUGUGGUCUCCUGUGUGCCAGUGGGAAAAGACCUUGUCAGAGAGAAGCAACAAAACCUCAGGGCAUAUAAAUUUCUGGCCUCAGUUUGAUCUCAAGCUCCCUUCACAGCCUGGAGCAAGUGACUCCAGAGGAGGAGAGCAGCAGCACAGGUUCCAAUGACACCUUGGCAGAAAGCCUAAAAAACUCUCUGCAGGCUCCCACUGGAUCAUUUCUCCUGCUUCUUAUGGAAAGUUUUCAGCCCAGACUGCAGCCAGAUUUAAUGUUCAAGUGAGCUGAUUAUGACUUAUUGUCCCCAUCACAGAGCUGCCACCAGGCCACCCCAGCUGGCAGUGCCAUGAGGUACUUUGCAAAAAUAAGAUGGAUGGCAGCAGCAGGAGCAGGAGAGCAAGCUCUGAACCAGGAGCAAAAGCAGAGCUCAUUUAGGUCUCUUUUGCACUGUGCUGCAAAAGCCUGGGGGGGAAGAAGAGAAGGGGUAAUGGUUUAAACCCAUAUCAAUUUAUAUUAAAUAGAAGGAAGGAUUUUUUUCAUAGUGAGGGUGGUAAAACACUGGCACCCAGGGAUGUGGUGGGGGCUGCAUCCCUGGAAACAUUCCAGGUCAGGCUGGACAUGGAUCUGAGCCCCUGGCUGAGUUGGAGAUGUCCCUGCUCUUUGCAGGGGAUUAGUCCAGGUGAGGUCACUUCCAACCCAAGCUGGUCUGUGAUUGCAUGAUGAACUUUCCUUGGUAGGACAGAGGGUGGGCUGGACCUGCAGAGGUCACAUUGGAG